AGUUUCUGGCAGCAGUCGGAGUGUCUGAAUCUGCUCCGUCAGCGUUCUUCAGAGGAGAAAACUCGUCUUCCCUGACAACCUCGAACACAACGAAGUUCCUAAAAAACACAAAUCAUCCUACAGGUCAAUGACUACAGAUAAAUAAUCAUCCAUGUCAGUGACUACGGAGAAAUCCUACAGGUCAGUGACUACGGAUAAAUCAUCUACAGGUCAGUGACUACAGAUAAAUCAUCCUACAGGUCAGUGACUACAGAUAAAUCAUCCUACAGGUCAGUGACUAC